CCUCUAUGGAACGCGAAGUUUGAACUAAGUAGUUAUCGUGCAAGUCAGAUAAUGCACUUAUAUGUGACUUACAUGCUCUUUAUUUUUUCUUAUAAUUUUUUUUUCUGGCUAUGAGGGGAUAUACACAUUCAUAGAUUUACAAUGAAGUGGCAAGCAGCUCUGUGCUUUGACACUUGUGUCUAAAGUAUUCCAAUGGCAUAUUUGAGAAGUCCAGAGUGGGAGAGUUUGAGUCUCUGUUCUGUAAAUAAUAGCUUUGAAUGGUAAAGACACAUCUAGAGUUCUUAGUUAGACCUACUCACAUAAACCCCAUCCCAUUUCAACACUCAUGCACCGUGCCUGGAACAGAGUUUACUGAAUCUCAUGACAGUUUAUCAGCAAUUCAGAAAGGAUUAUCAUGAUUUAAUCUUAAGAUGGAAG
rnacentral:lncRNA from 1 species